rnacentral:tRNA from 1 species
GCCUGGGUGGCUCAGUCGGUUGAGCGUCCGACUUCGGCUCAGGUCAUGAUCUCACAGUUCGUGGGUUCGAGCCCUGCAUCAGGCU